UUUUGAAUUAAUAAUUUAAAGUCUAAUCUGCCCCCUGAUAAUAUAUUAAAGGGCUGCAGUAUUUUGACUGUACAAAGGUAGCAUAAUCAUUAGUCUCUUAAUUGGUGACUUGUAUGAAAGAUUUAAUGAGAUAUAUACUGUCUCUUUUUAAUUUAUAAAAUUUAAUUUUUUAGUUAAAAAGCUAAAAUUUAUUUAAAAGACGAGAAGACCCUAUAGAGUUUUAUAUUUUAAUUAUAUUAAAAUUUUUUGUAAAAUUUAUUAUUUUAAUAUAUAUAUAUAAAUAUUUUGUUGGGGUGAUAAAAAAAUUUAAAUAACUUUUUUUAUAAUUUUACAUUAAUAAAUGAAUAAAUGAUCCGUAAUUUACGAUUAUAAGAAAAAAUUACCUUAGGGAUAACAGCGUAAUUUUUUUUUUUAGUUCUAAUAAGAAAAAGAGUUUGCGACCUCGAUGUUGGAUUAAGAUAAAAUUUAAAUGCAAAAGUUUAAAAUUUUUGAUCUG
rnacentral:rRNA from 1 species